CAUGGGGUUCAAAUCCACGAAUGGUGAGAUCAUGACCUGAACUGAAGUCGGAUGCUUAACCGACUGAGACACCCAGAUGCCCCAAGCCUUCACUAUUUUUGACCCUGGACAAGUUUUUUACCCAAGGUUUAGUUUCUUAUCUAGAAAAUGAGGAUAAUACCUACCACAUAAUUCUGUUAUUCGGAUCAAACACAAUAUAUUACAUAAAGAAAUGAUAUAGCACCUGGCACAGGGUAGUUUUUGAGUCAUCAAUGCUUGUCUGUCUUCAUGCUUCGCUACAAAACCUGUCCUGGAUUAUGCUUUUAUUGUUUACACACACCUUCUUACAACAUUCUGCUUUUUUUUUUCUUUUUAAUUUUGCUGGGCCUUCAAACUCACCAGCAAGUAAUUGGCGUCGCCCAUAUGAGCCAACCAAUCAAAAUAUUACUUGAGUUGCAUUUUCCCACCAAAAAAGAUUGACACAUUACCAAUAUUUUUCCUCUUGUUUUCUCGUAGUUCUAAUGUUAAGUGAUGCCUGGAACUCUACUAUAAUACCCAUACUGAAGUAUGUACAGUAAAGAAUUGGGGAUACUUUCUGAAAUUCAUCAGGGUUUAACAAUACCAUUUUAUUUUAAAGACCAGAUUAAAUAUAGAUGCAUUAUUUGACACCCUAUGGAUAAUUAAGCUUAGCUGAUCAGAACUUGGUGCUAAUAUGUCAGGUUAGGGUUUUCAAUCUCCUCCAUACACUAAUUAUAAUCUGAUUGAUUUUUCACUCACUGGGUUUUUGUUUUCUUUUGUUUUGUUCUGGGCUCACUGACUGCAGCUGUAACUUCAACUUGCCAAUAUACACCAUUGCUCACAAGAGGACCAGAUGAGAGAGUGUGAAUGAAUUUAUUGCCAGCCCUUUCCUACUCCAAAAAACAAAACAAUUUUGUAGAUUUGUUGCUGAUGGGUCAUAGCACCAUCUUCAUAUACAAAUAACAGCAUUUCAUAUGGCACUAUUUUCAGUGUAUACAAUAAUAGAGAUCAUGAGGAGACAGUACAAAUUAUCUUGGGCCAUUGUCUUAUUUAUAGAUUAAAGCACAAUUAUGUUUUCCACUGAUUUACAUUCUGACAUCUCAGUUAAUUAUGUUAUUUGCUUCUUCCAUGCUUAUUCUCCCCUUAGAUCUGGUUUGACUAUUCUUUUCUUUAGUAUUCGUUCCCUUGUUAGAUUGUUUAUAUUCUCUGAGUGGCAGGAUACCUUUUUUUAAUUAUUAUUAUGAAAAUGCUAAGUAUUUACCUAAUUACCCUUUAGAGAACAUUGGAAGACAAGGCAUUUGAACAAAUGGAUGAAUACUGAAAGGAGAAUAAUUGAAUUAUUUCUGGAAGUCUCAGUGACUGUUAUUUUUCUUACCUUCAAUAUUUUUCCUCUAGGUUACUAUUUUUUUUCAUGAUAGUUUUCAAGCUUAUAGUUGGUAACUUUUUUCCUGUUUGAAGAAAUAUCUCAGGAACAUGAAAGUGCUCAGAUAAAUAUUAUCUAUUUAAAAAUGCAAUAAUUUGAGGACCUAUAUGUUCAUUUAUUUAGAAUAGAAAAUCAUCUAAUGCAGUAUUUAAUUUUAUAUUAUGGAUUUCAGUUCAUAUAGAAGUUUAAAGAAUUUCAAAUAAAAUCUUACAUCAACCCAAAUGUUGAAUAACUGAUAUAAAAAAGAAAGCAUAGGCCCAACACAAAUAAUCAGAGAAGAAUCUAAUUAAUUCAUUUAGGGAAUCAACUAGCCAUCCAUUAUACAGUUAUUGAGAGCCUAACUGUGCCAGGGAUUUCUGUGGACACAAAGGUGAAAACAUAUAGCAAAUCUCAACCAAACACACACACUUUUUUUUAUCAGUAAGGUAGAUAAUGUGAAUGUGUAUACAAAUUAACAUCAAUAUAAUGUAGUCAGAUCUCACAGAGAUAUAAAAAGUCACUGAGAGACCACCUAGCCCAGUGGAUAAUCCAGUCUGGCAGACAAUGUAUGUUAUUUCUGCUUCAAUUUGGAAUGCAUUCUGAUUGUUGCCAAGGAAUUUUUAAAUUAUUAUUAUUAACUUUUGUAUUGGAUUGGUAAUCUUUAAAUUGGUUUAAUUCCUUAUGUACACACCAUCCAGAAGUAGGAUGAAUAAGAGAAUUUGAUGAAUGAUAAAGGGUCACGUGGGAUUAAACAUUUGUGAAAAAAUAAUUUGAAAUGUGGAAUUCAUUCCUAAAAUGGAGAAGUGACUGCAAAAUUCGGAACAUGUUCGUGGAAACUCAAUAGCACAAGCCCGGCAUUGACAAUCAGAUUCACGGCUCUCUUCCUAUCUAUUCACAUUGUUCCUUUAGGGGAAAUUUGACAAUGAUGUCUCACAAAUGUGUUGCCACUUUUCAAAGCUUCUUGCUAGCAUUUUAGCAAAGUGGAAAGCAGUUCUGGCGUUUCGGAUAAAUGUUCCCCAAAUCUUCCCUGCCAGACAUCUCAUUAAGUAGAAAGUCUCAAUAGAGUAAUAUGUAAAAGCAAUUUUAAAUAGAAGUUUGAUUCACAACAUGGUUAUUUUUGUAAAUAAUAUUCUGGGAAGACUUCUGUGCUUUUUAUGGAUUUAAUUUUACCUUUGGAGGUAUAUGCCUCUUCUUGUCAUUGUGACCAGUAAUAUUACCCAGCCACCUAUCAUUCCUUUUCAAAGAGAAUGGACUGUAAAUAAGUGUUUUAAACUAUUCCAUAAUUGACAAAAGACAAUGCAAGAAAUGACUAUUUCUGAAAGGAGUAUUUACUUAUUAUGUUCUCACAUACAUAUUCACUGAAACAUCAAAUGCACCCCCUGCUCCCUAAUGUGAUGAUGCUUUUUUGUAGUAUCAUUAUAGUCCUUCUUUUAAAUACUAUGUUAUUUGUAACUAAAAUUCUUUAACUAAAAGUUGAUACCGGAGAGCAGGGAUUUUAUUGUAUUCAUUGUAUACACCUUUGUAUCUCCAGCCUGGCCACAAACAUAUAUAAGUACUUAACAUUUUGGAAGGAUGAAUGACAUCAUUUAUCAAUGUUUGAUACUUGCUAAUAUCUACUUAUUUUUUAAAUAAAUAUGGCUUUAAAUGUGAUUGUCUUAGUCUAAUAUUUUUGUUUGCUAAAAUUGGAUGAAACAAUGCUGUGCAAUCAUUCUCUCUUAUCUGGAUUGCCUUUGUCCUAGUGUGUAUUCUCAUCCUCUCUAGAUUGGCUACAGAAAUAGCCUUUCUACUACUUACUUGACCUAAGUCAAAUGUCACCAUGCCUUUCUAUGUCUAACUUCCCUCCCAGAGUGAUAUUUUCAGCACUUAAAUCUGAUUAUGUCACACUCAUGCUUCAGAACCCUUCAGUCCCUGCCCUUCACUCCACACUGACUCUAGAUUCUGAUGUUAUUUUACCUAGACUUAGUUCCAGGGCCAUAGGUAAAGUCCUGCCUUUUCUUUUUUUCUCCCUCAAGUGCCUCACAUAUGACAUUCACUAAAUAUUGUUGAAUAAACACUGCAUGAUUGAAUAAAUGAAGAUGGCUUUUAUAGUCCACUUGUGCUAAAAUUAGGCAGGUGAGUUAGUUCAUACAAGAUCUAACAGAGCUGUCUGAAAAUGGAGAUGGAUGCUUUAAACAAGCAUUUCAUACACUUGCCUAUUCAUAAAAGUUAUCUGAGGUGUGUUUUAAAGAUAAAUAUUUCUGGAGUCUGAAUUUCCAAAGGAAACUUGAGAAUCUUUAUUAUUAUUUUUUUAAGUAACUGCUCUAAAUGAUUCUCAUGUUCAGAUAGGUUUGGGAGAGAUCUCUUAGAGUACCAGUUAAUAGCUGGAGACUCGACGGCUACUCAAUGUGGAAAGCUGGACUAUGUGACCCUAAUUCAUUCACUUCCACAAAGUUUGGGGUACUGUGAUUCUAGUGGAGGUCACAGUUUAUACAUGUGUAGAUGUAGGUGAUUGAUUUGGGAUACCUGAAUGCAGAUAGGAGGCAUUUGGGGACAAAAGACUACGUCCAAGUGUUACCAGAUCUAGAGAGUUUUGACCACUUUUCAAGGACUCCAAGGGAAAUUCUUCCCUAAUCUCCAAGUUUGUUGAUUCAUUUAACAACUAUUAAUUGAAUAGUUACCUACACACCCAAUAUGUAUGAGUUCCAGUUCCAGGUGUUGGCAAUAUAGCAGUAACAACACACACUAUCUCAGUGUUCUUUCAGCUGACAUGUCACAACUCACCAUGCUUGUCUCUAGAACUCUCCAGUCAAGUAUUAGUUUUACAGCCACUUCGUUCUUAGGCAAAUUGAAAAUGAUCAUCCCCAAAGAUCAAUCAUUAUCCUUGUUAAAAAUAAGUGUCCAGGUGUUUUGGUCUGACCGAAAACUCCAAAUGGGUUCCCAUGUCCUCUGAAGGUAUAACAGUUGAGCUGAGAUUAUAGGGCACCACUUCUCCCCUUUUGGGACCCAUUUAUAACCUGUUGAGGAGUUUAUUCUAGGCCUACUUCUGAGUCUAUAGGACAUAGAUAUUUACAUUUUAUAUAUGUUACAGGAAGCACAAAAAAAUUCUUUUAUCUAGGGCUAUCAUAUUUUACUAGAAAAUAGUUGGUAAAGGAUUAAACUAAAUACUCAAUUUUCUACCUCUGGGACUCUUACAGGAUGACAAGAACUAUUGGGAUUGUGUGGGAAAUGAUGAAUCAGCUUACAAUGUAUUCCACAAACACUGAUUAUAGCAGUCAUGUUAGAUCUAUUUUCACAUACUGCAAUCUCCAUGCCAGGUGUAAUGUACAGAAUGUAAAUAGUAUAUGGAAUAAUUAUGAAUAUUUUGCUUAAAACCCAGUACUUUAACCAUGGGUAUUCAUCACUCUGGAUUUUAAAACUUUACAUCUACUAUAAUAAUGUCUAUGGUGAUAGAGUUGGGACCCUUGAGAUCUCAAUAAUUAGGAUUUUCCCUUUCCUCUGAGAGAAAUCUUUUAAGAAAGUUGAAUUUUAUGAACAUUGUCUUGAAA